rnacentral:rRNA from 1 species
AGGGGAAUAUUGCACAAUGGGGGAAACCCUGAUGCAGCGACGCCGCGUGAGCGAAGAAGGUUUUCGAAUCGUAAAGCUCUGUCCUAUGAGAAGAUAAUGACGGUAUCAUAGGAGGAAGCCCCGGCUAAAUACGUGCCAGCAGCCGCGGUAAUACGUAUGGGGCGAGCGUUGUCCGGAAUUAUUGGGCGUAAAGGGUACGUAGGCGGUCUAUUAAGUCAGGUGUGAAAGCGUGAGGCUUAACCUCAUUAAGCACUUGAAACUGAUAGACUUGAGUUAAGGAGAGGAAAGUGGAAUUCCUAGUGUAGCGGUUAAAUGCGUAGAUAUUAGGAGGAAUACCGGUUGCGAAGGCGACUUUCUUGACUUGAACUGACGCUGAGGCACGACAGCGUGGGGAGCAAACAGG